GAAAUGCGAUAAGCAAUGUGAAUUGCAGAAUUCAGUGAAUCAUCGAAUCUUUGAACGCACCUUGCGCUCCUUGGUAUUCCUUGGAGCAUGCCUGUUUGAGUAUCAUGAAAUCUUCAAAGUAAAUCUUUUGUUAACUCAAUUGGUUUCUACUUUGGUAUUGGAGGUCUUUGCAGCUUCACACCUGCUCCUCUUUGUUCAUUAGCUGGAUCUCAGUGUUAUGCUUGGUUCCACUCGGCGUGAUAAGUUAUCUAUCGCUGAGGACACUGUAAAAGGUGGCCAAGGUAAAUGCAGAUGAACCGCUUCUAAUAGUCCAUUGACUUGGACAAUACUUUUAUGAUCUGAUCUCAAAUCAGGUAGGACUACCCGCUGAACUUAAGC
rnacentral:misc_RNA from 1 species